UAGCGGCGGGCCUAACACAUGCAAGUCGAACGGGUAGAUCCUUCGGGGUCUGCAAGUGGCGCACGGGUGAGUAACGCGUAGGUAACCUACCUUCCAGCGGGGGAUAACGUUCCGAAAGGAACGCUAAUACCGCAUAAGACCACGCUCUCUGAGGAGGGUGUGGGAAAAGACGGCCUCUUCUUGAAAGCUGUCACUGGGAGAUGGGCCUGCGUCCCAUCAGCUAGUUGGCGAGGUAACGGCUCACCAAGGCGAAGACGGGUAGCUGGUCUGAGAGGAUGAUCAGCCACACUGGCACUGGAACACGGGCCAGACUCCUACGGGAGGCAGCAGUGAGGAAUAUUGGGCAAUGGGCGAAAGCCUGACCCAGCCACGCCGCGUGAGUGAUGAAGGCCUUCGGGUUGUAAAGCUCUGUGGGGAGGGAAGAAAAAGCGGGAGAGUAACUGCUCUCGUGUUGACGGUACCUCCUUAGCAAGCACCGGCUAACUCUGUGCCAGCAGCCGCGGUAAUACAGAGGGUGCAAACGUUGCUCGGAAUUACUGGGCGUAAAGCGCGUGUAGGCUGACAUGCAAGUCGGGUGUGAAAUCCCAGGGCUCAACCUUGGAACUGCAUUCGAAACUGCAUGUCUUGAGUGCUGGAGAGGGAAGCGGAAUUCCGGGUGUAGAGGUGAAAUUCGUAGAUAUCCGGAGGAACACCAGUGGCGAAGGUGGCUUCCUGGACAGUAACUGACGCUGAGACGCGAAAGCGUGGGGAGCAAACAGGAUUAGAUACCCUGGUAGUCCACGCCGUAAACGAUGUGCACUAGGUGUCGCGGACUUCGACCGCUGCGGUGCCGUAGCUAACGCGUUAAGUGCACCGCCUGGGGAGUACGGUCGCAAGAUUG
rnacentral:rRNA from 1 species